rnacentral:lncRNA from 1 species
ACUUUUACAAAAAUCUUCUCCUCUGAAACUACUGGGCCAAAUUAAACCAAACUUGGCCACAAUCAUCAUUGGGGUAUCUAGUUUAAAAAUUGUGUCCGGUGACCCGGUCAACCAACCAAGAUGGCCGCCAUGGCUAAAAAUAGAACAUAGGGGUAAAAUGCAGUUUUUGGCUUAUAACUCAGAAACCAAAGCAUUUAAAGCAAAUCUGACAUGGGGGUUAAAUUGUUUGUCAGGUCAAGAUCUAUCUGCCUUGAAAAUUUCAGAUGAAUCGGUCAACCCAUUGUUGGGUUGCUGCCCCUGAAUUGGUAAUUUUAAGGAAAUUUUGCUGUUUUUGGUUAUUAUCUUGAAUAAUAUUAUAGAUAGAGAUAAACUGUAAACAACAAUAAUGUUCAGCAAAAUAAGAUUUACAAAUAAGUCUAUACUACCGAAAUGGUCAGUUGACCCCUUUAGGAGUUAUUGCCCUUUAUAGUCAAUUUUUAACCAUAUUUUGUAAAUCUGAGUAAUCCUUUACAAAAAUCUUCUCCUCUGAAACAACUGGGCCAAAUUAAACCAAACUUGGCCACAAUCAUCAUUGGGUAUCUAGUUUUAAAAAAUUGUGUCCAGUGACUCGGUCAACCAACCAAGAUGGCCGCCAUGGCUAAAAAUAGAUAAUAGGGGUAAAAUGCAGUUUUUGGCUUAUAACUCAAAAACCAAAGCAUUAAGAGCAAAUCUGACGGAGUUAAAUUGUAAAUCAGGUCAAGAUCUAUCUGCCUUGAAAAUUUCAGAUGAAUCGAACAACCCGUUGUAGGGUUGCUGCCCCUGAAUUGGUAAUUUUAAGGAAAUUUUGCUGUUUUU